GACAGAGGGUGCAAGCGUUGUUCGGAAUCAUUGGGCGUAAAGCGCGCGUAGGCGGUCGUGUAAGUCGGACGUGAAAUCCCAGGGCUCAACCCUGGAAGUGCAUCCGAAACUGCACGACUUGAGUACCGGAGAGGGUGGUGGAAUUCCUGGUGUAGAGGUGAAAUUCGUAGAUAUCAGGAGGAACACCCGUGGCGAAGGCGACCACCUGGACGGUUACUGACGCUGAGGUGCGAAAGCGUGGGGAGCAAACAGG
rnacentral:rRNA from 1 species